rnacentral:lncRNA from 1 species
UGAGUUUGAGGUUAUCUUUACAACUCGAACGGGAAUGCUGUACUACCGUACAACUUGUGAUUUCUUGAUGGAAACGUUCCUAUUCUUCAAUAUUCUUAUAUAAAAUAUUUUUCCAUUUGCAGACGUACGCAAUCGAUUCGCUGGCAUGGAUAAUGGUGAAGAAAUGUUGAUGAGAUUUUAACCAGCUUGUGAUUCGUCUUGAUGGAAACGCCGUUAUCUACUCAUCUAUUUGCAUGCCUAACUACCUUCCUACUUAUAACUACCGGGCACCUAUACCUACUUAAACCUACGUACCUAUACUUACCUACCUCAAUACAUGACAUACAUACAUGCAUACCUUAUACCUAUCUACUUACAUUUGUAUCCUAAUGAUGAUAGGUAGUUCCACAAGAAAGAAGAUGAUUGAAUUGAAGAAAACAUAAGGUGACUAAGUGAUGUAGUGGAAUUAAAGAUACUUCUCUUUUCAUAUUGGAAUUAAAGAUACUUCUCUCUACAUACAUACAUGCAUACCUAUAUCUAUAUACCUACCUAUCUACUUACAUUGGUAUCCUAAUGAUGAUAUAUAGGUAGUUCCAUAAGAAAGAAGAUGAUUAAAUUGAAGAAAACAUAAAGUGACUAAGUGAUGUAGUGGAUACUUCUCUUUUCACUAGGAACACCAUCGCUUAACAAGGUUGUAGUAUUCAACAAGGCUACAAGAAAUCUCAUGAAGUGCUGAACCAAAGAAAGCGUCAGUUCUUCUUGGGCUGCAAUGGGCUACUGGGAGACAAUACACCUCGUCACCGCGCUAUGGGUGGAUUUCAUUGGACAACAGAUGGUCAUCAAAGACGUUCAGAAAUGUUGACACUUAUAGCAGCAAGCGAAUAGACCUUGACGUUUUUUUAUUAUAUAAUAGAGAGUGAGAUACUGAAAAAUACACAUUCACGUGAGAUAUUUCCAUAUCUUCACUAGUGAAGAUAUCGAUCACGUGAAUUUUUCCAAUUUACUUUGGAGCGUGAAAUUUCACAAUUUUUUGCUUGGGACUAUAUAAUAAACAGAACAUUUCACGGUGGCUUGAAGAUAUGACUUUUAUCUUCUCGUGUUAAAAACAAUAUUUUACUCACUCGCUGCGCUCGUUCGUAAAAUAUUGUUUUCACCACUCGAAGAUAAAAGUCAUGUCUUCGCGCCGCCGUGUAAUAUCCUCUACAUAUUGACGUUUGACCCAAUGGCCUCGUUUUCGUGUCAGGUUUUUACUUGUGUUUCGUGCACAAUAGGGUUAAGAAAGUACUUGUUAUCGGGCUUAAGAUCAACCAGGAACCAAAUCGUGAGGAAACAUGGAAAUAUAAACCUUCAUGUGCGCCAGUCGUGCCAAAACUGGCAAACACGAAAACGAGGCCAUUUCGCCAAAAGUGAAUAAACGGUAAGGUCUAUUAAAAUUGUGAAAGCACAUGCCAGCUCUCUUGACGAACGGUCAUCGCUCCAUGCAGACGUCGAAAUGUUCAUAAGCUUUUUCAGACCAACGAAAAUAACGAGCAUCAACGAUUUAACAUCCGUCGUUUUCUAACCUUAAUCUCAUCGACGGACGAAACGAAAUGCAUCGAAAACAAAUAGUCUGUACGGUCAGGUAGUUGUGUAAAUAGGCUAUCGAUUAAAAAAAAGCAGUAUGACAGUUAUGUAUAUAUGUGCCUCAAAAUUCUGUGUCCAU